CAAUUUUACUGGUCAAUCAGAGUCAAUGUGAUUGUCUCUGAGGGAUUGGUCUUUACCUGCUUGUCCAAAGGGGGAACACUUUUAUUCGGCGGGACGCGGCAAACGACUGAAGACAAUGAUGUGCCGGAAGUAGACUUGUUCUAACCGAUUGACGCUAACCGGCUGUCACUCGAACAUGCCGGGCGAGUGUUUAGGCCACAAUGGAGGACUUUGAGGCAGCAUCGCCAACGUGACUGCAGUGGACACAGCUGCGUGGAUGCCACCAACUGUAUGCCAAGGGUGGGUGAGCGAGCCGUCCAACACAACGCUGUUUUGACCGCUGCUUUUCCCCCCGAAGUAUUAAUGAGUAUUAAUGAACUGUUCAUGUAUUGCCCUAUGCUAUUGUGCCGGCUUUUUUCAGUUGGGUUAUGUUUUUUUUUUUGUGUGUGCGCUGACAUGUGCAUGUGAAAUGUAAUGUGUUGCAGUGUGUAUGAAGGCUAUGAUUACUGUAACUAUCAGGUGUGCCAUUGGGACAUAAGGUAAUACAAUAUUGUACAGACAUUUUCCAAUAUGGGGUGUGCAUGCUUGAACUAAUACAUAUCAGAACCAGAAAAAUUAACAUGUAAAAUACAAUUUUGAAAUGUAUUAAUGUGUAUUUGACACGUUUUUUUCCUAAGCAGUCAUGAUAGACAUGAAGGAUGUGGUUUUCUUUAACCUCUUAAGGCCCAAGCUGUUUGUUUACAUGAUUUUUUUUUAUUUCUCUUUGCUAUUUGGGCUUAUUAGA